GAUGAACGCUGGCGGCGUGCCUAAUACAUGCAAGUCGAGCGAACAGACGAGGAGCUUGCUCCUUUGACGUUAGCGGCGGACGGGUGAGUAACACGUGGGUAACCUACCUAUAAGACUGGGAUAACUUCGGGAAACCGGAGCUAAUACCGGAUAAUAUUUCGAACCGCAUGGUUCGAUAGUGAAAGAUGGCUCUGCUAUCACUUAUAGAUGGACCUGCGCCGUAUUAGCUAGUUGGUAAGGUAACGGCUUACCAAGGCAACGAUACGUAGCCGACCUGAGAGGGUGAUCGGCCACACUGGAACUGAGACAAGGUCCAGAAUACUACGGGAGGCAGCAGUAGGGAAUCUGACGCAAUGGGCGAAAGCCUGACGGAGCAACGCCGAGUGAGUGAUGAAGGUCUUCGGAUCGUAAAACUCUGUUAUUAGGGAAGAACAAACGUGUAAGUAACUGUGCACGUCUUGACGGUACCUAAUCAGAAAGCCACGGCUAACUACGUG
rnacentral:rRNA from 1 species